GAGCACCCGAAGAAUAUUGCCCAAUGUGAUUAUUAAUCUGAACACAUACCAAACUAACCGCCGCAGUGAAGACAGGGCCUAUGGGCUUGACAAACUGCUUUUAUAAGGAAAUAAAGUGAGAGUCUUGACUCUUUUUGCAUGUACCUUAUGAAUAAUGACCGCCUAAUUCCGUGCCAGCAGCCGCGGUAAUACGGAAGGUCCAGGCGUUAUCCGGAUUUAUUGGUUUUAAAGGGAUCGUAGGCCGGAGAUUAAGCGUGUUGCGAAAUGUACAUGCUCAACAUCUGAACUGCAGCGCGAACUGGUUUCCUUGAGUACGCACAAAGUGGGCGGAAUUCGUGGUGUAGCGGUGAAAUGCUUAGAUAUCACGAAGAACUCCGAUUGCGAAGGCAGCUCACUGGAGCGCAACUGACGCUGAAGCUCGAAAGUGCGGGUAUCGAACAGGAUUAAAUACCCUGGUAGUCCGCACGGUAAACGAUGGAUGCCCGCUGUUGGUCUGAAUAGGUCAGCGGCCAAGCGAAAGCAUUAAGCAUCCCACCUGGGGAGUACGCCGGCAACGGUGAAACUCAAAGGAAUUGACGGGGGCCCGCACAAGCGGAGGAACAUGUGGUUUAAUUCAAUGAUACCGCGAGGAACCUUACCCGGGCUUGAAUUGCAGAGGAAGGAUUUGGAGACAAUGACCCCCCUUCGGGGCCCUCUGUGAAGGUGGUGCAUGGUUGUCGUCAGCUCGUGCCCGUGAGGUGUCGGAUUAAGUGCCAUAACGAGCGCAACCCCUCUCCUUAGUUGCCAACAAAAAAAAAUGGGCACUGUGGGGACACUGCCACCGUAAGGUGUGAGGAAGGUGGGGAUGACGUCAAAUCAGCACGGCCCUUACGUCCGGGGCUACACACGUGUUACAAUGGCAGGUACAGAGAGACGGUCCCUUGCAAAAUGGAUCAAAUCCUUAAAGCCUGUCUCAGUUCGGAGUGGGGUCUGCAACCCGACCCCAUAAAGCUGGAUUCGGUAGUAAUCGCGCAUCAGCCAUGGCGCGGUGAAUACGUGCCCGGGCCUGUAAAAACCGCA
rnacentral:rRNA from 1 species